rnacentral:tRNA from 1 species
UGGCUCAGUUGGUAGAGCAUGGCACUUGCAAUGCCAGCAUUGUGGGUUUGAUUUCUAU